UACGGAGGAGGCAAGCGCUAUCCGGAAUUAUUGGGCGUAAAGCGUCCGUAGGUGGUUUAGUAAGUCUGCUGUUAAAGCGCGGGGCUUAACUCCGUAUCGGCAGUGGAAACUACUAGACUAGAGUGUGGUAGGGGUAGAGGGAAUUCCCGGUGUAGCGGUGAAAUGCGCAGAUAUCGGGAGGAACACCAAUGGCGAAGGCAGCUCGCUGGGACGGUACUGACGCUGAGACGCGAAAGCGUGGGGAGCAAACAGG
rnacentral:rRNA from 1 species